rnacentral:rRNA from 1 species
AUUGAACGCUGGCGGCAUGCCUUACACAUGCAAGUCGAACGGUAACAGGUCUUCGGAUGCUGACGAGUGGCGAACGGGUGAGUAAUACAUCGGAACGUGCCCGAUCGUGGGGGAUAACGGAGCGAAAGCUUUGCUAAUACCGCAUACGAUCUACGGAUGAAAGCAGGGGACCGCAAGGCCUUGCGCGGACGGAGCGGCCGAUGGCAGAUUAGGUAGUUGGUGGGAUAAAAGCUUACCAAGCCGACGAUCUGUAGCUGGUCUGAGAGGACGACCAGCCACACUGGGACUGAGACACGGCCCAGACUCCUACGGGAGGCAGCAGUGGGGAAUUUUGGACAAUGGGCGAAAGCCUGAUCCAGCCAUGCCGCGUGCAGGAUGAAGGCCUUCGGGUUGUAAACUGCUUUUGUACGGAACGAAAAGCCUCUUUCUAAUAAAGAGAGGUCAUGACGGUACCGUAAGAAUAAGCACCGGCUAACUACGUGCCAGCAGCCGCGGUAACAC